GUGGAGAGUGGCGCACGGGUGAGUAACACGUGAGCAACCUGCCGGGAAGCCCGGGAUAGCCCUCCGAAAGGAGGAUUAAUACCGGAUGUGGCCACCCUGCGAUUGCAGGGGAAGCUAAAGGAUUUAUUCACUUCCCGAGGGGCUCGCGGCCCAUCAGCUUGUUGGUGAGGGUAACGGCCCACCAAGGCGACAACGGGUAGCUGGUCUGAGAGGAUGGUCAGCCACACUGGAACUGAGACACGGUCCAGACACCUACGGGUGGCAGCAGUCGAGAAUCAUUCGCAAUGGGGGAAACCCUGACGAUGCGACGCCGCGUGGAGGAUGAAGGCCUUAGGGUUGUAAACUCCUGUCAAGAGGGAAUAAGCAAGUGAAGGUACCUCUAGAGGAAGGGGCGGCUAAUUCCGUGCCAGCAGCCGCGGUAACACGGAAGCCCCGAGCGUUGUUCGGAUUCAUUGGGCGUAAAGGGUGCGUAGGCGGCGCGGAAAGUCCGGCGUGAAAGGCAGGGGCUCAACCUCUGGACUGCGUUGGAUACUUCCGUGCUUGAGGACUGGAGGGGAGACUGGAAUUCACGGUGUAGCAGUGAAAUGCGUAGAUAUCGCGAGGAAGACCGGUGGCGAAGGCGAGUCUCUGGACAGAUCCUGACGCUGAGGCACGAAGGCUGGGGGAGCGAACAGGAUUAGAUACCCUGGUAGUCCCAGCAGUAAACGAUGUGAGCUUGAUGUGGGGGGAUUCGACCCCUUCCGUGUCGAAGCUAACGCGAUAAGCUCACCGCCUGAGGAGUACGGCCGCAAGGCUAAAACUCAAAGAAAUUGACGGGGACCCGCACAAGCGGUGGAGUAUGUGGCUUAAUUCGA
rnacentral:rRNA from 1 species